UGGAGGGCUUGGGCCCUAUUUUUAUUUAUCUUUAUUUCUAUUCACAUGUAGCACAGUGCUAAAUAAAUGUUUGCGAAGUGUCAGCUGAGGUCAACCUACUCCACCAUAUUGCUCUCAGCUGGCUCUUCCAAAUUGAGAAUGUGGAGGAGGAAGAGGAUCUUUUUCUAGUUGCUGGGACUUGUUGCUUGAGACAAAGCUGUUUUUCUCAUUUCAGUGACAUAUACGUGACAGAUGAGGUUGAUGGACUACAGAAAUACAGAUUCUAACUCAGAUGAAAAGCUUAAAUUAUUCUGCAGUCCCACAGAAUUCAAGAAAGAAACUGAGAAGUUGGGAUUUCCAAGGACUUGAUGUUAGCAUUUUCGAAACACACGAUGAAAUCAACAACGAAACUUCAGGGCUCUAUUUACAUCAGAAGGGACAUCAAGUACCGCAAUGCUCACUAAAAAUGAAAUCCUACAGCUCGGACUGUCAACCCGCGUGGAGAAUGUAGAGCUGGCUUAAGGAACUCCUAGUAAAAACCAUCGGCAGUUGUUACCAUCCAAAAUUAAAAGAAAUUUUGUGAGCAUCUAAGAAGCAUUUGCAAAGUAACACUCAAGGUUUUGCAUUGAAAAAGAGGAAGUCUAAUGUCUGAAAAGAAUGUGACUCUGAGUUAUAAGGAGUUUUGAAAGAGAAUCCAGCUUGUGAAUUAGAGAGCCGAACUCAAGCCAGUUUCCUUUUAUAUUUCAUUGUAGUUUAACCUGUACUAUUUGAUCAAUCUUUGUAUAUUUCUUAGAUGAAAAAUGCACAUAUUUCCCAAAAGAACUGA
rnacentral:lncRNA from 1 species